GAGCUCGUGCAGUGGCCUGUCGCUCAACCGUUCACCUCUGCAGCAGGAUUGCAGGAAUCCAAAGGGCUCCUUUGAUCAGCUCUGGUUUGAUGUUGGUGGUUUCUGCUUGUCGGAUCACUCCAAGGUAAACCUGAUGUCCAUCACUGUUAUGCCCGUCAGAUCACAGUUUGUAUGCUCUGGAAUUUCUAUCCUCUAUACUGCUGAGCUAUUUAGCUUCCAUCGGUUUGGCCUGAAACUCUUGGUCGUUACUCUCUACGAUCGAUGAAUAUAUGAUGAAUAUUGUUAUUUAUUGGCAGUUUUACA